AGGUAUGCGUGAGGGAUUGUAGUGGAGCUCUUUUUUUAUCCCUUUUUUUUAAGGGAUAAAAAAAAGCGGGAACGUAAAGCCCGACCCGAC
rnacentral:sRNA from 1 species